rnacentral:lncRNA from 1 species
AGCAUGGUAUGAAAACUUUAUAACUUUCUUUCUCUAGCUCCAAAUUUCAUGCUUUUGCCCACUCUUUCAUACGAUUUUUCAUGCUCUUCCACUUUUACACCUUAAAACCCUCAAAAAGUCUUUGUUCAGCACUUUCUCUCACUAGUUGAAAGUUUUAGAGAGAGAAAGAGAGACUUGCCAUAGUAGCUUGGAAGCUUUUGAAAAGGAAUUCAACUACCAAAAAAAAA